AUGCAGACACUUCAUUUUUCCAGCAAGGCUUACAGCAAGAUACUGCACAUACCUUCCCUUGGCCUUGCUCUUGUGCUGCUGAUCGGAUUGGCCUCUCCUACCAGUUCCUGCAGAGAGCAGGAGCAGGGCUCCCUUCACCAGUUCCUUGCCGGGCUCUCACAACACGGUGGCCUCGCUGCGUCCUGGCAGCAUGGCACGGAUUGCUGCCAGUGGGAAGGGAUCACCUGCAGUACAGAUGGGAUUGUUACGGAUGUCUUGCUGGCUUCUAGGAGUCUUCAGGGGCACAUCUCAGCUUCUCUUGGGAAUCUCACUGGAUUACUGCGCCUCAACCUGUCAAACAAUCUGCUAUACGGUGGCCUACCGCAGGAAUUGAUGUCAUCCGGCAGCAUCGUCGCCAUAGACGUCAGCUUUAACCGCCUCAGUGGAGAUCUGCAAGAGUUAUCAUCUUUGACUCCUCCCCGGCCACUGAAGGUACUGAACAUCUCGAGCAAUUUGUUUACAGGACAAUUUCCGUCCUCCACAUGGCAAGUGAUGAAAAAUUUGGUCGCACUCAAUGCCAGCAAGAACAGCUUUACUGGGCAGCUGCCAAGUCAUUUAUGCACCAGUUUGCCAUUGCUCACUGUGCUUGAACUCUGUUACAACCUAUUCAGUGGAAGAAUUCCGUCUGGACUUGGUAGUUGUCCCAAGCUCAGAGUGCUCAAGGUUGGCCACAACAACCUUAGUGGGCCUCUACCAGAUGAACUUUUUAAUGCUAGCUCGUUGGAGUACCUCUCUUUCCCCAAGAAUACUUUACAAGGAACACUUGAAGAUGCACGUAUUGUCAGUCUCAGUAAUCUCAUAACCCUUGAUCUUGGAGAGAACAAUUUCAGUGGAAAGGUGCCAGAAUCUAUAGGUCAGCUUCACAGAUUGGAGGAGCUCCAUUUGAACAAUAACAACAUGUCUGAGGAUCUACCAUCAACCCUGAGCAACUGCACAAAUCUCAUAACCAUUGACCUCAAGAACAACUUGUUCUCUGGAGAGCUCGACAAGGUCAACUUCUCCAAUCUACCCAAUCUAAAAACUUCAGAUCUUGGGUGGAACAACUUCACCGGAAAAAUUCCAGAAAGCAUCUAUUCGUGCAGCAACGUAACUGCACUUCGGCUAUCCUUCAAUAAUUUCCAUGGCCAGCUGUCAGAAAAAAUAGGCAAUCUGAAAUCCCUCUCAUUCCUAUCACUUGUUAACAACAAUCUUACAAAUAUCACAAGUACACUUCCGAUACUUGCAAGAUCCAAGAGUCUCACCACCCUUCUUAUUGGGCUCAACUUCAUGAAUGAGACCAUGCCAGACGAUGACAUCAUUGUCAGUUUUGAGAAUCUUCAGGUUCUAGCAAUAACAGAUUGCUCACUGUUGGGGAAAGUACCACAUUGGUUAUCAAAGCUGACAAAUUUGGAGAUGUUAUUUUUAGAAAACAAUCAAUUAACAGGACAGAUACCUUACUGGAUCAACAGCCUAAAAUUCCUCUUCUAUCUAGACAUAUCAAAUAAUAGCAUGACAGGGGAAAUCCCAGCAGCCUUAAUGAAGAUGCCAAUGCUAAGAUCAGAGAAUAAUGCAACCCAUUUGGACCCCAGAUUCUUUGAGCUACCAAUUUAUGUAGCUCCAUCACUUCAAUACCGGUUACCAAUGGCUUUCCCAAAAGUGCUGGAUCUAAGUAACAAUAAAUUAACUGGUGAGAUGCCCUUGGAGAUUGGUCAGUUGAAAGCCCUCUGUUCACUCAAUUUCAGCUUCAAUGACUCAAAAGGACAGAUCCCACAAUCAAUAUGCAACCUCACAAACCUGCAGGUGUUAGACUUGUCGACCAACAACCUCACAGGUGGAAUCCCAGCUGCAUUGAACAGCCUGCAUUUCCUUUCAGCAUUCAACAUUUCUAACAAUGACCUAGAAGGGCCUAUUCCAUCUGGAGGUCAGUUUAAUACGUUUCAGAACUCUAGUUUCGAUGGGAAUCCAAAGCUCUGUGGCUCUAUGCUAAUUCACAAAUGUGGUUCGGCUUCACCACCUCUGAUCCCCUCCAAAGAACGGCAUAAGAAGGCUCUUUUUGCAAUUACAUUUGGAGUGUUCUUUGGAAGCAUUGCUGUUCUUUUGUUGCUGGGGCGUCUCCUUGUCUCAAUCAGAGUCAAUGGUUUUACAGUAAAAAAUACAACAGACAAGAACAAUGGAUAUAUCGAAUCAACUUCAUCCAACUCCAGUUCAGAGCAAACAUUGGUAGUGAUGUCACGAGGCAAGGGAGAAGAAAGCAAGCUCAAAUUCACUGACAUUUUGAAAGCUACACACAAUUUUGACAAGGAGAACAUCAUUGGAUGUGGAGGUUAUGGAUUAGUAUACAAGGCAGAGCUAUGUGAUGGCUCGAAGCUGGCAAUAAAAAGGCUCAGCGAUGAAAUGUGUCUUAUGGAAAGAGAGUUCAGUGCAGAGGUUGAUGCUCUCUCCAUGGCACAACAUGAAAAUCUUGUACCUCUGUGGGGUUACUGCAUCCAUGGAAACUCAAGGCUCCUCAUAUAUUCCUACAUGGAGAACGGCAGCCUGGAUGAUUGGCUUCAUAACAGGGAUGACGAUGGUAGCUCAUGUCUUGACUGGCCAACUCGGCUGAAGAUCGCGCAAGGAGCAAGCCUUGGCCUUUCUCAUAUCCAUGAUGUCUGCAAGCCUCAAAUUGUCCACCGUGACAUCAAAUCCAGUAACAUCCUACUGGACAAAGAAUUUAAAGCUUAUGUUGCAGAUUUUGGGCUAGCCAGAUUGAUCCUUCCCAACCAAACGCAUGUUACAACUGAGUUGGUCGGCACUAUGGGUUACAUUCCCCCCGAAUAUGGGCAAGCAUGGGUUGCUACGUUGAGAGGUGAUAUGUACAGUUUUGGAGUAGUCCUGCUUGAGCUGCUCACUGGAAUGCGGCCUGUUUCAGUCCUAUCUACAUCAAAAGAACUUGUCCCAUGGGUGCUCGAGAUGAGGUCCAAGGGAAAGCAAGUUGAGGUCCUGGAUCCAACACUUAGAGGCGCAGAAUAUGAAGAACAAAUGCUGAAGGUGCUUGAAGCUGCUUCCAAAUGUGUCGACCACAAUCAAUUCAUGAGGCCAACCAUCAUGGAAGUAGUCUCCUGCCUGGCCAGUAUAGAUGCUGAGCCGCAGAUGCAAAGAUCAGCCAAGAUACGAUAA
rnacentral:rRNA from 1 species